rnacentral:rRNA from 1 species
AGUGAACGCUGGCGGUAGGCCUAACACAUGCAAGUCGAACGGCAGCACAGUAAGAGCUUGCUCUUACGGGUGGCGAGUGGCGGACGGGUGAGGAAUACAUCGGAAUCUACUUUUUCGUGGGGGAUAACGUAGGGAAACUUACGCUAAUACCGCAUACGACCUACGGGUGAAAGCAGGGGAUCUUCGGACCUUGCGCGAUUGAAUGAGCCGAUGUCGGAUUAGCUAGUUGGCGGGGUAAAGGCCCACCAAGGCGACGAUCCGUAGCUGGUCUGAGAGGAUGAUCAGCCAAACUGGAACGGAGACACGGUCCAGACUCCUACGGGAGGCAGCAGUGGGGAAUAUUGGACAAUGGGCGCAAGCCUGAUCCAGCCAUACCGCGUGGGUGAAGAAGGCCUUCGGGUUGUAAAGCCCUUUUGUUGGGAAAGAAAAGCAGCAGGUUAAUACCCCGCUGUUCUGACGGUACCCAAAGAAUAAGCACCGGCUAACUUCGUG